rnacentral:rRNA from 1 species
UACGUAGGGAGCAAGCGUUGUCCGGAAUCAUUGGGCGUAAAGAGCGCGUAGGCGGUCCGGUAAGUCGGUUGUGAAAACUGGGGGCUCAACCCUCAGAGGCCGACCGAUACUGCCGGGCUAGAGUCCGGAAGAGGCGAGUGGAAUUCCUGGUGUAGCGGUGAAAUGCGCAGAUAUCAGGAGGAACACCGGUGGCGAAGGCGGGACUCUGGGCCGAUACUGACGCUGAGGAGCGAAAGCGUGGGGAGCAAACAGG